UACAAUGACUCUCGGCAACGGAUAUCUCGGCUCUUGCAUCGAUUAAGAACGUAGCGAAAUGCGAUACUUGGUGUGAAUUGCAGAAUCCCGUGAACCAUCGAGUCUUUGAACGCAAGUUGCGCCCGAAGCCAUCAGGCCGAGGGCACGUCUGCCUGGGUGUCACA
rnacentral:rRNA from 1 species